rnacentral:rRNA from 1 species
CCUACGGGUUGCACCAGUGGGGAAUAUUGGACAAUGGGCGCAAGCCUGAUCCAGCCAUGCCGCGUGAGUGAAGAAGGCCUUAGGGUUGUAAAGCUCUUUCACCGGUGAAGAUAAUGACGGUAACCGGAGAAGAAGCCCCGGCUAACUUCGUGCCAGCAGCCGCGGCAAUACGAAGGGGGCUAGCGUUGUUCGGAAUUACUGGGCGUAAAGCGCGCGUAGGCGGGUAGAUAAGUCAGAGGUGAAAUCGCGGGGCUCAACCCCGGAAUUGCCUUUGAUACUGUUUAUCUUGAGUGCAGAAGAGGUAAGUGGAAUUCCGAGUGUAGAGGUGAAAUUCGUAGAUAUUCGGAGGAACACCAGUGGCGAAGGCGGCUUACUGGUCUGCAACUGACGCUGAGGCGCGAAAGCGUGGGGAGCAAACAGGAUUAGAUACCCCCGUAG